UUAUGAAGGGUAUGAUCUUGGCUCAGAACGAACGCUGGCGGCGUGGAUUAGGCAUGCAAGUCGAACGAGGAAGUGCCCCGUAAGGGGCGCAAGCCUAGUGGCGAAAGGGUGAGUAAUGCAUUGAUAACCUGCCUUUGAGAUGGGAAUAACUGCGUUUCGAGCAAUCGGAACUACCGAAAGGGCUGCUAAUACCCAAUAAUACUAUAGGUGCAAAAGCACUUGUGGUCAAAUGCUAGGAAUUCUGUUCCUUGUGCUUAAAGAGGGGUUAAUGUCCUAUCAGCUAGUUGGUGGGGUAAUGGCCUACCAAGGCAAAGACGGGUAGCCGGCUUGAGAGGGUGGUCGGCCACACUGGGACUGAGACACUGCCCAGACUCCUACGGGAGGCUGCAGUCGAG
rnacentral:rRNA from 1 species